GACGAACGCUGGCGGCGUGCUUAACACAUGCAAGUCGAACGGUGAAGCUCCAGCUUGCUGGAGUGGAUCAGUGGCGAACGGGUGAGUAACACGUGAGCAACCUGCCCCUGACUCUGGAAUAAGCGCUGGAAACGGCGUCUAAUACUGGAUACGAGAAGGGUCCGCAUGGGCACUUUCUGGAAAGUUUUUCGGUUGGGGAUGGGCUCGCGGCCUAUCAGCUUGUUGGUGAGGUAAUGGCUCACCAAGGCGACGACGGGUAGUCGGCCUGAGAGGGCGACCGGCCACACUGGGACUGAGACACGGCCCAGACUCCUACGGGAGGCAGCAGUGGGGAAUAUUGCACAAUGGGCGAAAGCCUGAUGCAGCGACGCCGCGUGAGGGAUGACGGCCUUCGGGUUGUAAACCUCUUUCAGCAGGGAAGAAGCGAAAGUGACGGUACCUGCAGAAGAAGCACCGGCUAACUACGUG
rnacentral:rRNA from 1 species